rnacentral:lncRNA from 1 species
UGUGGUUGCUGGGAAUUGAAAUCAGGACCUCUGGAAGAGCAUUCAGUGCUCUUAACCACUGAGCCAUCUCUCCAGCUCUGAGACAGGAGAAAUCUUGAGCAUUAAGACUGAACUGGGCUACUCUACACAGUAAUUUUAAGGCCAGCUUGUACUGUGAGAUCUUUACUAAAAUUAAAGGUGUAUAUAUUCAUCAACAAAGUAUAUUAACUAAUUUUCUAACCCCAUAUUGGUAGGUAGAUAAAGAGAUGGAAAAAUAAAACCUCUAAUCAGAGAAGUUAGUUGACAGAUACAGAGAUGAGAAGGAUGAAGGGUUUAGAAGACAGUUGUAUGAAGUAGUUAAAGGAAAGCCUGAUUAGGAAAUUGUUGAAAGGGGUAGGAAAAAAAGACCCAGUGACUCUUUAAGAACUGAAAGAUACAGGGUCUGAGAUGAAAAGUUCAGUCAGGGAUCUCUAGCAAAUUAUACAUUCUAGAAGAAAAAGAAAAAUUAAUAGAAACUGUUUAUAGUGAAGUGUGCUUCAACAAACAAAAAACAGGCAACUGAGCCUCAGUGAUGUGUCAGACAGCAUCCCCUGGUCUAAUAACCAGUAAUUGAGAACCAGGAAAAAGGUGGCUCCAGGGCAUCCAUUCCUCUCUUCUGACCUUCUGACUAGGUACAAACAGUAUUCAUACAUAGGGACUCAUACAUAGGAAUGAUAUAAGCCACAUGUGGUAGAUACCUAUAGUCUCAGCAUUCAGGAUGCUGUGGUAGUAGGAUUUCAGGUUCAAGACCAGACUGGGCUAGGUAACAAGAUCCUUAAAAACAAAACUUAGUAAAGUAGGAUAGGGUUGGGUGGGUAAAAUAAGAACAUCUAUUGAUUUUAUUUUAAAUAAAAAAUAAUAUAAAUUGAGGACGUUAUCUUAAUUGUUGCACAAAUGAAUAGCAUAAAGGAUAAGAAAAACAGUUACAGGAUUCUGAACAGCACCAAUGAAUGUAUAUAUAAUUACGAAAUGGGUUAUUUUAGUUUAUACUAGAAGCCACAUAAUAUCACAGGUGCUGUGUAGAGAAAGCAGUAGUUACUUGAUUCAGAAAGCUGGGUGCUUCGGGGCAAAGGGGAUCAAUGAUGUAGCCCUAGUUGGAGGCUGAAGGCUUGGAUGCUCCAAGUCAUUGGUGUGAUCUUCCCACAAAGACAGAAGCAGCUGGGGUUUGAAGAGUCAAGCUUGAGCAGUAUGAUGAGCUGCUUCUUCCCACCUUUUGUUUUAUGUAGGUCCAGCCUGUCGGACAGGGCCGCAGGCUCAGGUGGUUCUUUCCACUCAGUUUGCUGACUGACAGGCCAUUCAUCUCUGGCAAGAGAGAGAUACAUCAGGAAGUAUGCUUUGACUCUUUUCUAGGCCUCUCACCUCAGACAAGUUAAUUGACACAGUAGUUGUUUUGUUUCUUUGUGGUACUGGAGAUUGGGCCUGAGCCUUGGGCAUACUAGGCAAGCACUCCACAUAUAUGGCUAGUGAUGAAAAGAAUUGUAUACAUGAACUUUAUUCUUAUUAGUAAAUGUAGUUUCUCACAGAGUAUGGACUUACAUAAAUACAAAUGUAUGAAUAUAGAAAUAAAUGUUUUAGUUUUUUAUUUUAUGUUGAAAAGGUUUACAAAUAGGAAAAAUGCUGGAAUGAACUCUGGGGUUGGGUUAGAACUGAAGGCGUAUGAGCUUUAUAUAUUACAUGUAUAUGGAAUAAAUAAUUAUAGAUAUGUAGGCAUACAUAUAUCCAUUGGCUAAUACACACAAAUGCCUGCCUAUAGGAAAGGCAUAGAAACAAUGUUAUUCCAGUAACCAUGAGCAUAUUUCAAAUACAACCCCCCUUUUAAAGAUUUAUUUAUUUAUUUGUUUAUAUAUUAUAUGUAAGUACACUGUAGCUGUCUUCAGAAGAGGGCAUAAGAUCUCAUUAUGGAUGGUUGUGAGCCACUAUGUGGUUGCUGGGAAUUGAACUCGGGACCUUCAGAAAAGCAGUCAGUGCUCUUAACCGCUGAGCCAUCUCUCCAUCCCCUCAAAUACUCUCUUUAAGAGUUCUUAAAGAGUUGCUGAAGAGAUGGCUCAGUGUGAAGAACACUUGCUGCUCUUACAAAAAACCUAUUUGGUUCCUAACUACCAUGUGUCUGUAAACACACACAUAAUCUUUAAAAAAAAAUAAACAAGCCAGGUUCUCUGAAGAACUUGUUUUUAGAGCUAAAGUAAGAGAAAUAAAAGGUACUGAUGAUUCUAGAUUAUAUGAUGCCAGAAAAUAAAGAAGUACUU